UGCACUCACUACUGUAAGUCGCUCUGGAUAAGAGUGUCUGCUAAAUUACUAAAA
rfam:Salmo salar isolate Sally breed double haploid chromosome ssa24, whole genome shotgun sequence.